rnacentral:rRNA from 1 species
CAGGUGGGCAACGUGCCCUGAAGUUCGGAAUAACCCCGAGAAAUCGGAGCUAAUACCGGAUGUGGCGUUCGAGACGUUGGUCUUGAACGUUAAAGGUUGGUCCUUCGGGGCCUGCCGCUUCGGGAGCGGCCCGCCCUCGAUUAGCUUGAUGGUGAGGUAACGGCUCACCAUGGCGACGAUCGAUAGCUGGUCUGAGAGGAUGGUCAGCCACACUGGGACUGAGAUACGGCCCAGACUCCUACGGGGGGCAGCAGUCUAGAGGCUUCGGCAAUGGGGGAAACCCUGACCGAGCGACGCCGCGUGUGGGAUUGAAGGUGUUUACAUCGUAAACCACUGUUCCAGGGGAAGAAUGCCCGCAUGGUGAAUGCGGGAGCGACGGUACCCUGGCAGCAAGCCCCGGCUAACUACGUGCCAGCAGCCGCGGUAAUACGUAGGGGGCAAGCGUUGUUCGGAUUUACUGGGCGUAAAGGGAGUGUAGGCGGUUGAUCAAGUCCGGUGUGAAAGCUUUACCGCUCACCGGAAAGAGGUCAUCGGAAACUGAUCAACUUGAGUAGGGAAGAGGCAAGCGGAAUUCUUGGUGGAGCGGUGGAAUGUGUAGAUAUCAGGAAGAACAUCGGUGGCGAAGGCGGCUUGCUGGGCCCUUACGGACGCUGAGACUCGAAAGCGUGGGGAGCGAACGGGAUUAGAUACCCCGGCAGUCCACGCUGUAAACGGUGCGCACUAGGUGUGGGGGGUAUCGACCCCUCCCGUGCCGCAGUUAACACAUUAAGUGCGCCGCCUGGGGAGUACGACCGCAAGGUUAAAACUCAAAGGAAUUGACGGGGGCCCGCACAAGCGGUGGAGGAUGUGGGUUUAAUUCGACGCA